rnacentral:rRNA from 1 species
GACGAACGCUGGCGGCGUGCUUAACACAUGCAAGUCGAGCGGUAAGGCCCCUUCGGGGGUACACGAGCGGCGAACGGGUGAGUAACACGUGGGUGACCUGCCCUCAGCUCUGGGAUAAGCCUGGGAAACCGGGUCUAAUACUGGAUAUGACUCCAUGACGCAUGUUGUGGGGUGGAAAGCCUUGUGCGGCUGAGGAUGGGCCCGCGGCCUAUCAGCUUGUUGGUGGGGUGANGGCCUACCAAGGCGACGACGGGUAGCCGGCCUGAGAGGGCGACUGGCCACACUGGGACUGAGACACGGCCCAGACUCCUACGGGAGGCAGCAGUGGGGAAUCUUGCGCAAUGGGCGAAAGCCUGACGCAGCGACGCCGCGUGAGGGAUGACGGCCU